AUUUUCAGUCCAUCUGUCAUCAGUGUGGGUCCAAGAACCUCCACCCUCUGAGUACCCAUUCAAGGGAACACUUCGCACGGACCAGCCCUGGGGCUCAGGAACAUGGAGAUUACACUGUUAUGAAGAUUCUUGUACAGGAUUCCCAGGACACCACAUAUCCUUCAGAUAGAGUUCUGUAACUGCACCCGUGAACAAAGAACAGCUCCUCCAGAUUUGUUCUUGGUAUGAGUCUGAAGAGCUACCAGUUCCAAGUGGGGAGGAGGAAGUCACUGAGCCAGAGACCAAGACAACACAACUGAACAGAUUCUCCUUUUCCAAGGCAGUGUCCUUGCAAUGCAACUUUAGAAUUUUAUAUAAUGUACAGAACUCAUGGCAUCUCAGCAAAGUCAUGAUUAAAAUUUAUAUUCUAACCAAAAACAUUUGGAGAAAGUAUUUCAAAUUUCCCACUUCAAUGUUGAAUCUCAAUUGAGAACUAAUUAUUGAUGAUGAAUAUAUAAUAUCUAUAUAGCAUUAUACUUUCUAAAUAUAAUAAACAAUAUUUCAAUAGUAA